rnacentral:sRNA from 1 species
GCGUUCUUCAAGCGAGCUUGGGAUAGUGGGAGCCAAGCAGAACAAGCUAAGAAACUGGCACUUUCUGUCGUAUUUUUUAAAAACAAUGAAGUAAUAAAUUAGGGUGGAACCGCGUUUCUGACG